UACGUAGGGUGCAAGCGUUAAUCGGAAUUACUGGGCGUAAAGCGUGCGUAGGUGGUUUGUUAAGUCAGGUGUGAAAUCCCCGGGCUCAACCUGGGAACUGCGCUUGAUACUGGCAGACUAGAGUGUGGUAGAGGGUAGUGGAAUUCCCGGUGUAGCGGUGAAAUGCGUAGAUAUCGGGAAGAACAUCAGUGGCGAAGGCGGCUACCUGGACCAACACUGACACUGAGGCACGAAAGCGUGGGGAGCAAACAGG
rnacentral:rRNA from 1 species